GUCGCAUUACAAUGCAAAUAUACUGCAACUACAACAACACCAGAACUCUUCUGGUACAUCCAGAGAGCACAUUACAUUCCUAAAUACAUGCUGAGGAAAAACAAAUACGGAGGAGAUCAGGGCACUGAGUUCCAGGAGAGAUUUCACUCUGAAGUAUCAUUAGAUUCAGUUGCACUGACAAUCCAGAAUCUGCGUGUGUCUGACUCUGCUGUGUACUACUGUGCUCUGCAGCCCACUGGGACUGAAACCAACUCAGCUCUUACACACACAUUAUAAUGUUAAAUCAGUGCUGACCCCCUUUCUGUGAUACAAUCAGCCAUUUUCCUUCAUUCAUUGCCACACAUGUAUAUAUACAAAAUCUUAAUGUUAUUAUUAUAUCAAUAUUUUCAAUUCACCAAUAUAAUUCAUGUUAAAAUAGAAUAAAUGUUCAAUGACAGUCAAGAUCAAAAACAAAGCUUGCUCUAUGUUGCAGAAAAGGGGGCAGGUCUUGAUAUGACAAUCCACACCCACAUUAUUAAUACAAAGUACAUCAGUUCUUCAGUGCAUUCAUUAACCUAUGAUAUAUGUACUCUAUUAAAAAUAAUUAAGGUAGACUAUAAUUUAUCAUUCAAAACAACAUAGAAGGAUCAUCCACUUUUAAAAACAGUUCAGAUCUGAAAAAUCAAAAUGGAGCGAUAUUUAUUGAUCCUCAUAAUCACAUCAGAAACGACAAGCUGUGAUCAAAACCAAUUUAAACUUUUAAACUGAGGUUUCAUCAUGGAGGUAUGUCUGCUAGUGAUUCUCAUAAUUCCAGGUGUGUUUGCUGACAGCAUUAAACCAAAUGACAAGGAUACUAAUAUGAUCAAGAGAGAAGGAGAGCCUGUGACACUGAGCUGCACAUAUGAUACAAGCAGCAAUUAUGUUUAUCUCUACUGGUACAGACAGUACCCUAAUAGAGAACCUCAUUAUUUACUCUAUAAAGGUGCUCGGUCAUAUAGCAGUGAUAAGGAUAUACCAGACCGGUUUCAGUCAAUUACAUCCCAAACAUCCACUGAAAUCACUAUUAAGAGUUUAACUCUGUCAGAUUCAGCUCUCUAUUACUGUGCUCUGAGAGUUGGAGCCCAGUGAUACAAAAUGCCUGAGAAGCUUUACAAAAACUCAAACACACAAUUCUUGCUUUUAAAAUCAGUAAUCAAACAUUUAUAAUACCACAUGUACCACUGAGAUUGUAAAUAACAGAAUGUGGUAACACCUGCUGAACAAUCAAGGAGAGCAUGAAAAGAAGGGGAGAUAUGAUAAUGAACUAGAACAAAAUGUUGUUUUACAGCAAAAUCAAUUUGACAUUUCAUAGAAAAAUG
ensembl:lncRNA